GGGCCCGCACAAGCGGUGGAGCAUGUGGUUUAAUUCGAAGCAACGCGAAGAACCUUACCUACUCUUGACAUCCAGUGAACUUGGUAGAGAUACCUUGGUGCCUUCGGGAACACUGAGACAGGUGCUGCAUGGCUGUCGUCAGCUCGUGUUGUGAAAUGUUGGGUUAAGUCCCGUAACGAGCGCAACCCUUGUCCUUAGUUACCAUCAUUCAGUUGGGGACUCUAAGGAGACUGCCGGUGACAAACCGGAGGAAGGCGGGGACGACGUCAAGUCAUCAUGGCCCUUACGAGUAGGGCUACACACGUGCUACAAUGGCCAGUACAAAGGGUUGCCAAGUCGCAAGGCGGAGCUAAUCUCAUAAAGCUGGUCGUAGUCCGGAUUGGAGUCUGCAACUCGACUCCAUGAAGUCGGAAUCGCUAGUAAUCG
rnacentral:rRNA from 1 species